GCCUGGUAACAAGGGAUCAGGAGAGGAUUUGAGCUCCUUAAAAGAAAACACCUCUUCCUUAAAAUUAGUGUCUCUACUCACAAAGAAUGAUUUAGAUGCUAAAUCAUAGAGUAUAUAGCCCUUUUGAGUUUGAGAAUAUCCCAAAUGUACAGCAGGUACAACCCUCGGAGCAAACUCGUCAACUUUCUUUGGAUCAGUGGCAUAACAUAGGGACCCAAAUACCUUGAGAUGACUGAGUUGAGGGAGGUGGUCAUACUUCUCAAAUGGAGAUUUACCAUGCAAACACAUUGUGGGCAAUCUAUUGAGAAGAUACACAAUUGUAGAUACACAAAAACCCCAGUAUUUCAAAGGCACAAAACCUUAGAGCUCUGUCCAUGUUAAGUAUAGAUCUAUGCUUCCUCUCAGCAACCCCAUUCUGUUGAGGGGAAUAACGAUCAGAGCUCAUUUCAACAUAAGAAAAGGUGCUCCGGAAGGGGAGAGGAGGGAAGUGUGAAAUGUGGAAGUAGUGGAAGAUGUCACUUCUCGAAGAAGAGGAAGCACAGGGUAAAGAGCUCAAUCAAGGUUCCUGCUAUAAGUAACAAACUAGCGAUAUUCCCCCGGAUGAGUAUUCUUGGAGAAAAUAUGGACAGAAACCGAUCAAAGGUUUUCCGCACCCUAGGGGAUACUAUAACUGUAGCAGCAUGAGAGGCUGUCCUGCCAGGAAGCACGUUGAGAGAUGCUUGGAAGAACCUUCGAUGCUUAUUGUCACUUACGAAGGAGAACAUAACCAUCCUAGGUUGCCAUCUCAAUCGGCAAAUGCAUGAGAUCUUUAGAGAAAUGCUAGCAAAGAUCAUUAUCA